CAUUAGGGGUUGUGGUGUGUGAGUUCCACCUGAUGUGUUUACAAUUUAGGUUGCCCACCAGAAUGACAGAGCUCCCCAUGCCGAGCAGCGCCUCGAUAUCACUGCUUAGAACGAUCUUAUCCGGUGGAAGAUAAACGGACGCGAUAACGAUCGGCGCGUGUCCCGUCAGUGAGAUUCGGCACACUGAUGCUUCGAUAUUAGCGAGCGCGGGAGGAUCGAGCGGGAUAUAAGUUCUAAGAUCUCAAGUAUAGUUACAACGGCUGCGCCACCCUUCAAACCGAAACGCAUUACUGCUUCACGGCAGAAAUAGGCAGGGUGGUGGUACCCACCCGCGCGGACUCACAAGAGGUCCUACCACAUUUUGUACAGUUACAUAUUGGAAGUAUUAAUUAAAAAAUAUCCCAUAAUUAAAAUUAACGCGAUGAUGUCCUACCGUCACUGAUUUAUUUUGUGGCUAUGUUUGGUGCCACACAGAAGGGAUACGGUCCAAUCAAGAAGUAUUCCAUUAGAAAAGUUGGUACCUGUCAGCGGGAUUCGAACACCGGCACUGUCGCAUCGCUCGAUACGAAUGAACCAGGCGUCUUCUCCUUUAGGCCACGACGACUAUGGUGGCUGGCGGUGUGUUCCCAAAAGCCUUUUUUGCUGGUUCUCGACAAAAGGCCGCCUAACGGGACCGCAACCCGGCGACCGGCUCAAGCACAUCUUGUUCAGUUGCUGCGUGUCGACUUAAAUCUGAUGCAGACUAUCGUACCGGCGGCAUCAGGGCGAGUGCUCAACGUCGUUCAUGGUUGUCAAUAAUACUACUUAGGGGCUAAGCUAAGGCGCAACUACUUCUAACAAGUUACAGCAUCUUAUCGUUUUUUCGAAGAAAGGAAAAAGUAGUAAAUAAGUAAUAAGAUAUCUGAGUUGAUAUGAAGACCACCAGUCUGCCUAUUUCGGCCGCGAAGCUCUCUUACGUUCCAAUAUCAUACCUCAAGUUUGUGGUGUCAGUUAAUUUGCCGAGUAGUAAAAUACGAACACAGACUAUGAAACGGACGCCAUGAUUUUUUACUGUCAACAAAUUCUUCGGCAUACGUAUUCGAAACUUAAAAUGAAUGAAAUCACUUCAAUUAACUUAAAAAUCACAUGUAAAUACAGAAGUGGGAAUGAUUAAAUUAUAUGCAUCGGUUGCUAGCUCGAGGCGUUCCCUCUGGAAUGAAUAUCUCGAUGUCAAAACGACGUCUGAUUUUCCAUCUGACGCAUGUCUAUUUGCACCUACAACUCACAAGAGUGUUUUUGCGAGUAACAAAUCUGGAAAAAUCAACAUCUGCUGUGCCCCAAUACGACUAUUUCAACUCGAAAGGAUAAACGAUGCUCAAUGCUUAGAAGACAAACAAUUAGACAAACAACCCAUAAAUGUAUUCAUUCUGAAUACAGAAGAUAAUGUCACAAAUACAUCAACGUGCAUUGCUGUAUCUGUAGCUAUAAGUACUCUAGACUAUAAUAACUACUGAAGUAUGAAUGCUAAUUGAAGGUAAACACAAAAAAAAAAACACAAUUAUACAUUUAUUUUACCUGUUUGCUGAGUAAAGGAAAAUUGUUUAAUCCA